UGGGAUAUGGAGGGGUUAGAGGCUUUCAUGACAAUGUUGGGAGGUUGACAUUAACAGGUGGUAGGCAGCGAGGCAUAGUGGCAAAAACUAGAUAACUAGCAUGGCAAUGAUAGUAAUGAUAGCUAGGGAAAUGAUCAUCUUCCUUGGGAUCCCGCUUGGAAGAAGAACGAAUCCAUGAAGUAGACCAACUGACGUAGUCGAACAGAUCCUCACACUCUGUAGCGGUUGGAACUCUAUUGAGAAGAAACAAUCCAGAAACAAUAAUCAACACACGAUAAAGUCCAGAACAUAUGCAUGACAUGAUGCACAAGCAAGUAUGAUGCAAGUCCAAUUAAUUAUGCACGACAUGGGAAACAC
rnacentral:lncRNA from 1 species